rnacentral:rRNA from 1 species
UACGUAGGGGGCUAGCGUUGUCCGGAAUCAUUGGGCGUAAAGCGCGUGUAGGCGGUCCGGUAAGUCCGCUGUGAAAGUCGAGGGCUCAACCCUCGAAUGCCGGUGGAUACUGUCGGGCUUGAGUACGGGAGAGGCGAGUGGAAUUCCUGGUGUAGCGGUGAAAAUGCGCAGAUAUCAGGAGGAACACCAAUGGCGAAGGCAGC